rnacentral:rRNA from 1 species
GAUGAACGCUGGCGGCGUGCCUAAUACAUGCAAGUCGAGCGAACGGACGAGAAGCUUGCUUCUCUGAUGUUAGCGGCGGACGGGUGAGUAACACGUGGAUAACCUACCUAUAAGACUGGGAUAACUUCGGGAAACCGGAGCUAAUACCGGAUAAUAUUUUGAACCGCAUGGUUCAAAAGUGAAAGACGGUCUUGCUGUCACUUAUAGAUGGAUCCGCGCUGCAUUAGCUAGUUGGUAAGGUAACGGCUUACCAAGGCAACGAUGCAUAGCCGACCUGAGAGGGUGAUCGGCCACACUGGAACUGAGGCACGGUCCAGACUCCUACGGGAGGCAGCAGUAGGGAAUCUUCCGCAAUGGGCGAAAGCCUGACGGAGCAACGCCGCGUGAGUGAUGAAGGUCUUCGGAUCGUAAAACUCUGUUAUUAGGGAAGAUCAUAUGUGUAAGUAACUGUGCACAUCUUGACGGUACCUAAUCAGAAAGCCACGGCUAACUACGUG